UUGAACGCUGGCGGCAUGCCUUACACAUGCAAGUCGAACGGCAGCACGGGAGCAAUCCUGGUGGCGAGUGGCGAAACGGGUGAGUAAUAUAUCGGAACGUGCCCAGUCGUGGGGGAUAACGUAGCGAAAGCUACGCUAAUACCGCAUACGAUCUAAGGAUGAAAGCGGGGGACUCGCAAGAGCCUCGCGCGAUUGGAGCGGCCGAUAUCAGAUUAGGUAGUUGGUGGGGUAAAGGCUCACCAAGCCAACGAUCUGUAGCUGGUCUGAGAGGACGACCAGCCACACUGGAACUGAGACACGGUCCAGACUCCUACGGGAGGCAGCAGUGGGGAAUUUUGGACAAUGGACGCAAGUCUGAUCCAGCCAUUCCGCGUGCAGGAUGAAGGCCCUCGGGUUGUAAACUGCUUUUGUACGGAACGAAAAGGUUUCUAUUAAUACUAGGAGCUCAUGACGGUACCGUAAGAAUAAGCACCGGCUAACUACGUG
rnacentral:rRNA from 1 species